GUAAAAAUUACAUAACUUUGUCAAAGUUAAAUUAUAGGUUAAACCCCUAUAUA
rnacentral:tRNA from 1 species